CCGUGCUAGAUGGGGAGGUAGCGGAGCCCUGUACCUGCAAUCCGCUAUAGCAGGAUUGAAUUCCCGUUCUAGGCAUGUUGAUGUAAGGCCUGCCCCUUGUAAGUAACGAUGAAGACUUGGUCCUGCGCAAUGGGAACCUGCGAACCCCGUCAGGUUCGGAAGAAAGCAGCGGUAAGUAGAACUUCCUAUGUGCCGCGGGGAUACCUGGUCUGAGUAAACUGCAUUGGUAACGCUUAUAUGGGCAUGACAAAGAUGGGUGUACGG
rnacentral:SRP_RNA from 1 species